rnacentral:rRNA from 1 species
UACGAAGGGGGCUAGCGUUGCUCGGAAUCACUGGGCGUAAAGGGUGCGUAGGCGGGUUUUUAAGUCAGAGGUGAAAUCCUGGAGCUCAACUCCAGAACUGCCUUUGAUACUGGGAAUCUUGAGUAUGGAAGAGGUGAGUGGAACUGCGAGUGUAGAGGUGAAAUUCGUAGAUAUUCGCAAGAACACCAGUGGCGAAGGCGGCUCACUGGUCCGGUACUGACGCUGAGGUGCGAAAGCGUGGGGAGCAAACAGGG